rnacentral:lncRNA from 1 species
AUGUUGUUCUCUGCAGUUGGUGCCCCAACAACUUCGGCUGGAACACUUGGUGGUAUGACUUUGGGAUUUGGAUUAAAAGUCCCUGGAGCAGGUGGAACAGCCACUACUACUGCAUCUACUACAACGUCAACGACCACCACUACCACUGUCACCACCACCACCACUACUACAACCACCAGUGGCAUUACCUUCAAUUUAAAACCACUGUCAUCAACUGGGAUUAAUAACACUGUCCCAGUCGGUAGUACUUCCAUACCUUUUACUUCGACUGUUAAGUAAGCCUAUUUAUUUGAAAAUUUAUGUGAGUUUCAUUUUAUUUAUCAUGUGCAAGACAUGAUUUGCUUGUAUAGCUUUAGAAUAGUUUUUGAAAGUUAGGUAUAUGACUCAGAAUUGAAGGGGCAGUUAGAGAAAGGAUUUCUGUAGUUUAGGAAGUUGAACAAUUAGCAGCACACCUUUGUCUUCUUCUUAUCAUUAUAAUACAAUUAUUACUAUUACUAAUAAUAGCUAACAUUUAUUGUGUAAUAAUUAUAUGUUUAGCAAUAUGACAGUGCUUUACAGACAUCAUAUCAUUUAAUCCUCGCAAUAAGCCUAUGAGGUAAGUACUAUUCUUGUUCCCAUUUUAUAGAUGAGAAAACUGGAGCACAUAAAAAUUUUAUAAUCUGCCCCUGGUCACACACUUGGUAAUGGUUGAGCCAGUAUUAAAAUUCAGACAGUUGAGCUCUACAUCCUAUAUUCUUACAAUCUAUUCCAUAUUUCUCUCUAAUUGUUCAUUUUUUGAAAUUAAACUUUAUAUUUUGAGAUAAUUAUAGAUUCACAUGUACUUCUAAGAAAUAAUACAAAGUAUUCUUUGUGUCCCUUUACCUAGUUUCUCCCAAUAAUAAUGUCUUGCAAUACUAUACUACCAUAUCACAUCCAGGAUAUUGACAUUGAUACAAUCAAGAUGUAGAACAGUCUCAUCACCACAAGGAUCCCUCCUGUUGCCCUUUUAUAGCCAUACCCACUACCCUCCCCUCCUUUCUCUGACCCCAGGCAACAAUUAAUCUGUUCUCCUUUUCUAUAAUCUUGACAUUUAAAUAAACGAUAUACAGAUAGACA